rnacentral:rRNA from 1 species
UACGGAGGGUGCGAGCGUUGUCCGGAAUCAUUGGGCGUAAAGGGCGCGUAGGUGGCCCGGUCAGUCUUUGGUGAAAGCGCGGGGCUCAACCCUGCGUCGGCCAGGGAUACUGCCGCGGCUCGAGCACUGUAGAGGCAGGCGGAAUUCCGGGUGUAGCGGUGGAAUGCGUAGAGAUCCGGAAGAACACCGGUGGCGAAGGCGGCCUGCUGGGCAGUUUGGCUGACACUGAGGCGCGACAGCGUGGGGAGCAAACAGGG